rnacentral:tRNA from 1 species
UAGCGGUGUUUGGGCACUGAGAAUUUUGAUUUCUCAAGAGAGGUUCAGUACCUCCUGA